UGGGGAAUCUUCCGCAAUGGACGAAAGUCUGACGGAGCAACGCCGCGUGAGUGAUGACGGCCUUCGGGUUGUAAAGCUCUGUUAAUCGGGACGAAUGGUUCUUGUGCGAAUAGUGCGAGGGUUUGACGGUACCGGAAUAGAAAGCCACGGCUAACUACGUGCCAGCAGCCGCGGUAAUACGUAGGUGGCAAGCGUUGUCCGGAAUUAUUGGGCGUAAAGCGCGCGCAGGCGGAUUGGUCAGUCUGUCUUAAAAGUUCGGGGCUUAACCCCGUGAUGGGAUGGAAACUGCCAAUCUAGAGUAUCGGAGAGGAAAGUGGAAUUCCUAGUGUAGCGGUGAAAUGCGUAGAUAUUAGGAAGAACACCAGUGGCGAAGGCGACUUUCUGGACGAAAACUGACGCUGAGGCGCGAAAGCCAGGGGAGCGAACGGGAUUAGAUACCCCGGUAGUCCUGGCCGUAAACGAUGGGUACUAGGUGUAGGAGGUAUCGACCCCUUCUGUGCCGGAGUUAACGUAAUAAGUACCCCGCCUGGGGAGUACGACCGCAAGGUUG
rnacentral:rRNA from 1 species